rnacentral:rRNA from 1 species
AUACGGAGGGGGUUAGCGUUGUUCGGAAUUACUGGGCGUAAAGCGCACGUAGGCGGAUUGGAAAGUUGGCGGUGAAAUCCCAGGGCUCAACCCUGGAACUGCCUCCAAAACUAACAGUCUAGAGUUCGAGAGAGGUGAGUGGAAUUCCAAGUGUAGAGGUGAAAUUCGUAGAUAUUUGGAGGAACACCAGUGGCGAAGGCGGCUCACUGGCUCGAUACUGACGCUGAGGUGCGAAAGCGUGGGGAGCAAACAGGAUUAGAAACCCCAGUAGUCC